rnacentral:tRNA from 1 species
AAAGCUUUAAGUUAAGUAAACUAAUAACCUUCAAAGUUAUAAAUAUAAAACAAUUUAUAAGCUUUA